rnacentral:rRNA from 1 species
UACGUAGGGCGCAAGCGUUGUCCGGAAUUAUUGGGCGUAAAGAGCUCGUAGGCGGUUUGUCGCGUCUGCUGUGAAAACUCGAGGCUCAACCUCGGGCUUGCAGUGGGUACGGGCAGACUAGAGUGCGGUAGGGGAGACUGGAAUUCCUGGUGUAGCGGUGGAAUGCGCAGAUAGUCAGGGAGGAACACCCGGUGGCGAAAGGCGGCAUCCUGGACCGGGCAUUGAC